CAAACACAGUAUUGCCACGCAGCAAAAUGUUGCAUAUAAUCUUUCAAGUCAGCCUGAUAAAAUAUUGAACAAUUUGUGUACAAAGAUAUCUUGAAAUGUGAUAUUAGGGCUGUAUGGCAGUACUGUUACUGUAUGGCAGUACUGUAUUGGCUAGUGCUUUCUCCAAUAUGUUCUUCUAUUUUACAUUACAUUGUAUGUCGAUGACAUUUAUCUUUAAAUAUUGAUGUAGUACAUUUACAAUUACGUAAUUUAGCAGACGAUCUUAUCCAGAGCGACUUACAAAUUACAAAGUAUAUAUAUAUAGAUAUAUAUAUAUAUAUUAAUGCUUGUAAGACUAUUCUUUGACACAUUUUCUCUUCCUUUGAAAUUCUUAUAGGACAGAACAUGGACACAAUGCAAUUGGGAUCAAGAAGAAGGUACAGAUAUGUUGUAGGACAGCUGCAUUUGAAGUGUACAUUUAACCUACAUAGCAGUCAAUACAAACUGAAAUCUAUUAGCAUACAAAUGUGUGCAAAUGAUCUUUUGAGAUCUUCUCAGAAAUGAAUCAAGUCCAUGGAAUGGAUAUAGACAAAAAGAGAAUUCAAGGACUAUCAGAGGUAGAGAGGCGAGGCAGGGGUGAGGACAUCAUCCUGCUAUUUUGACAGUCCCUGAAGGACAAUACAGAAGAGGACUGGAGACCACAGCAGCGAUUCUGCUCUUGCCCAACCUCUUCAAUGAGGACCCGAGUGGCCUUUAUGUCCGUGACAAGAUUUCACCGCUCUUCACUCCUUUACUGCACAUCGGUGGAAAUCCAUUUCACCAUGAGAGUGAAAUCCCGCUGGCCUUUGAGGGGAGAACAUCCAGGCCCUCGAGGACGUCCCCAUGGGACUUGGAGCUCUGCUACGGCUGGAUUUUUUAUUUUCCCUUCAAUUUCCCAAAAAUGUCAGAAAAACACUUAUGUUGUUAAGUUACUGUGUUCUGGGGAUCAGAGAAGUUGGGGUGAAGUUACCAGGGCCGGUCAUAAAGAUGGAAAACUUCCUAACAUAACUAAGUGGAUAUGAUAUACAUUUACAUUUACAUUUAAGUCAUUUAGCAGACGCUCUUAUCCAGAGCGACUUACAAAUUGGUGCAUUCACCUUAUGAUAUCCAGUGGAACAACCACUUUACAAUAGUGCA
rnacentral:lncRNA from 1 species